AUUUAAUUUUUCUUUAAUAAAUAAAUAAAUAUAUAUACUUAAUAUAUUUAUUUAGUUAAUCACAUACAUACAUCACAUAAGUCAAAAAGCAUUUAUCCUUAUCAUAUCUCUUUAUUAAAAUUUAUUUCCUUAAUAAAUUUCUAACAUUCAUAAUCUAUUUCUUUCUUUUAAAAAUUUCAAUCAUUCUUAUAAUUAAUUCACAUAAAAUUAAAGGUAACAUAAUACCUUAUUCUUAACAUACUUCCAAAUAAAAUUUCAUUCUAGGUUUUUUUAACCCUUAUUUUCUCAAUUCUAUUCAAAUAGCAAACCAUAUAGGUUCUUCUUUUAAUUUUUUUUGAAAUCAUUCUUCUAUUUCCACUCUAGGUUUUAUUCUUUAACCUUUAAUUUAAUCAUUCAAGAUCUUAUGAAUUUUCGGGAUGUCAAAUUCUUCCCCCUUAUAAGGAUUUCAUUCCCGGAAUCACUAUUGUACCAAAAGUACAUAUUUUAACCUCUCCUUCUGAGAAUUUCAUCCUUGAAAUUUCAGCCUACUACACCCUACUCCUUUCAUUUACCAAAACUAAGUUUUCAUAAUAAAUUUUAUCCAAUCAUAUCAGAUUUUACUCUUACGCAACGAGUUCAUACAAUUUUAUACCCAUCAUCACAUACUACCCAAAACAUCUCUAAAGAGUAAAAAUUUUCAUAUCAUGCUGAGGGGUCAUAUAGACCAUGAACACAUAGUUUUAACGGUAUUUAUACCAUAAAACAAUAAAUUAAUAGGUAUGUUUACAAUCUUAAAGAAAAUAAACUGUCGCUACUAGUACUUUAGGUUAUUAGCCUAUCGUACGCUUACGUCAUGUAUGACGUAUCAAUCAUAUCUCACGAAUAUUUUCGCUACAAAUAUAUUGGAUUAUUUUAUCCAAUUGACAUAGUUCACCUCAGUCUUAUCAUAGGAUUCCGCACCAAAAUAAUUUAGUUCGAGAUAAAUUCUCAAAGAAUACUUUGAUUUUUUAUAAACAUUUGUCUAGCUGAAUAAAAUAGCUUAGACUCAUACCAAUAAUUCAAUUUUAAUUAAAACAUGUCUGGCCAAAUUUAGUUGGUAAUAAUUUAUCUUUAAAAUUAUAAAAAUAAUUUUAUGACAUCAUGAUACCGCACUAUAUUUACAGCCCGUUUGAGGAUUCCGUCAUUGUGUGACUUUGUCAUACUACAUCAUUCCAUAGUGGUUGCCGAUCUAUAGAUCGCAUCCAACUAAGUAAUUCUUCAUUGAUAACUCCAUCAUUUUUAUCAUCUCUGCACCAAGUUACAUGAUGCAUUAAUGAUAUAUAAAAUACAUUUUGAUAUUUCAAAUCAUUUUCAUCUAGCCGAAACAAUUAUCAUAGACUUUUCUCUAAACAGUUCAAAAAUCAUUGCAAAUCAAUUUUAGUGUUAUCAUACCUCAACAAGUAAUGAUGUGUCAGUGUCCCGAAGUCCACACAUACACACUUGUCACCAUGUAUUGAGAAUAAAAAAAUUUAUUUCUAAAAGGCACAUCAGUGCGUAUUUAGCUUGAUGUCAAAAGGUUCGAAGUCUAGCAUAGCUAGAAGAUUUGGAAUACAUAUACUUCCACCAUCAACUUCACUUUCUUUAAUUAUCCAUUGCUUAAUAAUUCUAUCUAUUUCUAUCAUCCUCAAUUCUCCAUUCACAAUUUUCCUAUAUCCCAAUAUAGUUCAUCAAACUUACCACACGUUAUGAGUUCAGGAACUUUCCACAAUAAUAUUAGUUUAGGAACUUAUCCUAGUAAUACGUAGUUCAAGAACUAUCCAUAUGUUUAGAGGUUCAAAAACAUAUCAUACGAUUAUGAGUCACAAACUUACCAUAAGUAUGAGUUUUAAGAACUCGCACCUAACCUUAUAUUCUCUACCUAUCUGUUAUACACAUGAGAAAAGAGUCACCUUCUCAACAUGUAUAUAUCAAAUAGCGCGACACAAAUAUUUCAAUAAUUAUCAGUGUAAGAAACUAAGUGGUUGUUACACCAAGUACAAUUCCCCGCCCAUAUAAAGAAUCAUACAACUUAGCUGCUGACAUGAGUGUACACACUUGAAAUUUCGUUUUCCUGUUACUAACUAUACAGGAGGACAAAAGUGUCUUUUUCACACUCCAGAGAUAACCCUGGAAGUGUAGCGCCCCCAAAUCCAUGGUCCUAAAUCACCACGGAUCUGGUACACUAGUUCUAACUAUUGCGGAAGAUAUAAUUUUUAUACAUUAAAUAUCAUACACUAUCCCCAAGGUCGAGUAACCAUAACUUAUACACAAUUCCAUACCUGUCUAACAUACAAAUAAAUUACUUUUACAAAUCUAGCUGCACACAUAGUCCCAAGCUGAGCUUGACUUUAUCUUUUCCUUGUAUCGACGUAUUCGCCUUAAUCAACAAUGUUUUAUCAUGAUAUAGCAAGGGUGAGCAUUAAAGUUGCCCAACAGGUUUAAAUUAUAUUUAAGGAUAUAUCAUGAUUGAAAGAGUCUGAAUAAUAAGCUGGCUAUAAUUCAUCAAUAUAAUUGAGAACUAGCACGAACAAACUUUUGACUGAACAAGUAUUAAACAUGAACAAAUAUAUCUGAACCGAAUGGUAAUGAAGGUGAUCAGCCUUUCAUACCUGACUUAUACAUACAAUAUGUACAGAGUACAAUUCUACAUGGCAAUCAACAAUGAUUAACCAUAAGCAUAUCUGAAUGAAAUAACUCUUAGUAGAGUUAAGAAAAACACUUGCCUGUACCGUUGAUUACCGUUACGAAAUAUAACUUAGCUUUAUCCGAAGACCUAAUAUAGAUAAUACCGAUCUCCAAAUAUUAGAAUAAUAUUAUCACAGUAUAAAAUAAUCUAAACACAUUAUCACAUAAUCCUAUCAGUCUAUACAUCAUAUAAGACUUGGUAUCAGGUCAAACUAUUUCAGUCUGACUUGAAUCCGACACAAUUCUAACAUCCCGACGGUCUAGUCGGACAAUUAUCGAGUUUAAGUCUAAUUAAACUCUGCCUAACACUUAACAAUUAUCUUAGUUAAUUUAUUAAUCAGUCAAAAUAAUUUUAUAGACCCAUAAUAAUUUUUAGAUAAUUAUUAUCCUUUAUUAUGAUUUUUCAAUCAAUAAUAUCAUAUUUAUAUGCAUUAAAUACUACUUAAUUCCAUUAUCAUCAAUAUUAAUUUAAUAUUAAAUAUCAAUGAAAAUCAUAACAUAAUAUUAUAAUAUAUUUAUAAUAUCUCAAAGUAUUUUUAAUACUUUAAAAUCAUAUUUAUAUGAUUUUUAACAGCUAAAUUCAUUAUCCGAUAAUUGAUAUUAAAAUAUUAAUAUUUUCAUGACUAAAUAUAAAAAGUUAUAUUUUAUAACUUCAAAUAUUUUUAUAACACUUAAAUUAUUUUUAUAUAAUUUUUAAAGCAUUAAUUCUAUUUUUCCAUAAUUUAUUUAAUACAUUUAUCAAAUAAAUUAAUUACCAUUAAUAAUAAAUUAUUAAUGAAAUUCAUCAUAAAAUAUUAAAAGUCAUUAAAAAUAACUUAAAAUAUUUUCUUAUACCAUAAUAUAAUUUUUCAUGAAUUAAAACCAUUUUUAAAUAAUUUAUUUAAUAAUAUAAUUAAAUAAAUAAAUACCUUUUAUAUUCCAAAAAUAUUAAAUAUUUUUGAAAUAUACUCAAAAUAAUUAAAAACUAAUUUUUAGGCCUUAAAAUAAUUUUUCAUAAUUUAUUAUGUAUUUUUAAUAAUUAAAAAUUAUUUAAUACUAAUUAUUUAAUAAAAUACUAAUUUUAUAAUUAAUCUACCGCUAAAGGGCCCUAUAGCGAUAAAACUGUCGCUAUAGGUGUUCUUAGGCUGUUCUUGACCAAACCCAGAUUUCAUGUCAGUUUAUCGGAUGCCUACUUUGACCAUAUUUUGAUCUGUGAUCCUAAGGUUUUCUUGGCUGCUUGAUGUUAUAAACAUGUAGUAUUAAUGUAAUACUACAAUAAAUACCUAAGUUAAGAUCCAUACAACAAAACAUCAGAGAGAUCAAAGCCUCCCAAUAUUCUGACAACGGUGUUCUUGAGUUUCUGGGUUUUCCAGAAACUCGAGCAGUGUGAGGGUCCUUACUUUGCAUCCUUAUAUCUUCAAUUCUAGGAAUGUUUUAUGUGAUCUAUGAAUUCAAAAGUGCAUUAGAGGUCAGGGUACAAUAACAUGCUAUCCAUUCAGUCUAACAUCAUAACAAAUGCAAGAUCCAUGCUAGUCAAACUAUGUCAGAAAUUUCGGCUGAUGAAGAUCUGGGUUUUCCAGAAAACCUUCAUGAGCCAUUUAGGUCAACCUAGUUUGACCAUGAUUAUAUAAGAUUCUGUUACGGAUAUGGGUGAUCUAAAAGCUUUAGUGUGUAGUUAACAUGUCAGGCUGCAAGUAUAUAACAACAACAUGGCCCAAACACUUAACAGUUGCAAGAUCAAGCGCCUGCAAAGUCGUUGUCAGAGAUUUCUGGGUUUCUGGGUUACCCAGAAACCAGAUCUUGUGCUCGGUCAACGCAGUUUGACUGCUAAUAACUUUUAAUCUAUACAUGAUCUGGGCUUGAUUCAAGUUCCAGAUCAAAGAUCUUACAACAUACUACAAGUACAACCAUUUAACCAACCAAAAAUAUAAACAGGUAAAGAUCUAUGGGGUCUGACAUUCGGUUGUCAGACCACAUUUUUUCUGUUUUCCAGAUUUUUGAAAUCUUUAAUUUCGAGCAUCUAAGUGUUAUGGAUCUGUGAUAUUACAACCCAGAUCACUAAUAUAUACUACACAUUUAAACAUAAAAUCACAACAUCAAACAUCAGAUCUAAGGAUUUCUAGAAUUAGGGUUUAUACCUCAUGAAUGCUAUAUUUUUGAAUCUGAUCCUUGAUGUUUGAUCCUGUGAAGCUAACACAUGAUCUUGGCUUAGCUUAUUACUCACUCUCACUCUAAAAUUUCGGAUGAGAGAGAGAGAGAAGGGUUGGCUAGGUUGAGAAAUAAAGUGUUUAACUUUUCUAUACUUAAUGCCUUUAAUCCAUGUUGCAAUGUAUUUAACCUAGCAAGUUGGCUUAUUAAAAUGAUUACUAGACCACAUGGCUAGCUAGAGUUGGUCACCAACUCCUUACUAGGGCUAGAUCUACACUCCACCUCAUUAAAAUAUAAAGAAGGGUAGUUUGGUCUUUUGACUCAUAAAGUGCAUGACAACUUGGUAACUUCUCAUAAUUAUUAGGUUUUAACCCUUAGGGUUUGACCCUUAGGGUUUAACCCUAAGAUUACACAAAUUUAUAUUCUAGACUUUUCUAAUUAGGUUCUAAAAUUAGAAAAUUAUAAUUAGGGUUCCCUAAUUAUAAUAAAGUUUACUAAUCACAUUCAAGCUUGCUAAUUAGGGUUAAGGCGUCCUAAUUAACAUUAAACUCUAUAAAUUAAUAAUUAGGUUUUCUCUAAUUGUACAUUAGGGUUUCCAACAUUAGAAAUAGGACUUUCUAAUUAAUCAAUUAGGGUUAUCCCUAAUUAUACUUACAAUUAAUAACAUAAAAACUUUAUACUUAUCUUCAAGCUUCCCAAUUAGGGUUUUAAUAUUCCAAAUUAGGGUUACGGAUUCCCAGAACUGAAAUUAGGGUUUCCAUAGCUUGUAAUAUGGUUUCUUAUCAGUCGUUAGGGUUUUCUAACUGAACGUCGAGGCUUUUAGUAUAUUAUUAGGUUUUGUGACUGAUAUAAUUUAUCCGGUCAACCCUUGACCCUUAACCACAUACUUUACACAUAUAUAACCAUAUACAGAGAUACUUUUAACACUGUAAACCUUCACCAAAAGUUUUUAAAUUCAUAAAAUUCAUUCCUAAACAUGUUAAAUACAUACACUUAUUUUCUGUCUAGGUCUAUUAUUUAACCUCUAUUCAAUCUUUUAAGAUUUUAUAAAAUUGUCUAAAUUCUCGGGUUGUCACAUUCACCCUUCUUCUAAUAAUUUCGUCCCUGAAAUUCAACUUACACCUCAUACCUUGCAUACACAACAUCACAUUCUACCCAAUACAUCACUGACAAGAGAAAAAAAAUUUCAAAUUGUGCUGAGGAGUCAUAUAGACUAUUUGUCUGUCAUUUUCGCAAAGGUUUUAUGGAAAUUCAUCCGCAAACCGUCAUAACUUACGGACACAAAGGGUGAUUAGCCCGAUAUGCCCUGUACUGGCCAAGUACUGUUGGUUGGAACAAGUUUUCCCCGUUCUUCUAUUCCAUCCGCCUCAGGCGCACAAAAUUUCUUACCUCAGUCUUUUUAGAUUCCGCACCAAAAUAAUUUGGUUCGGGAAAUUUCUUUCAAUGAACACUUAGAAUUUUUAUAAACAUUAGUCUAGCUGAAUCUAAUAGCAUAGACUCAUAUCAAUAAUUUAAUUCAAUCGAAUUAUUUACGUGUAGCCAAACCCCGUUGGCAAAUUAAAAUUUUUGAAAAUAUUUUUGAGAAUGACGUCAUGAUGUCGUACUAUAUUAAUAGUCCGUUUGAGGAUGCCAUCAUUGUACGACUUUCUCAUAACACAUCAUACAAUAGUGGAACAAUGAUUUUUAAAUCGAAUUCACACCAAGUAUUCCUGUAUUUACAACUCCAUCAACUUUUUAUCAUCUCUGCACCAGGUUACAUGGUACAUGAGUGAUAAAUAAAAUAUAUUUUGACAUUUUAAAUCAUUUGCGUCUAGCCGAAAUAAGUAGCAUAGACUAUACUUUUAAUCGUUUCAAAAAUGAUUACGAGUCUACAUUUUUUUAAAGAGCACAUAGUGCGUAUUUAGCUUGAUGUCAACAUUUCGAAGUCUAGCAUAGCUAUGAGUUUUGGAAAACUUAUAUCUCCACUAAUAAUCAUUUUCUUAAAUAGUCUAUUUAUUCCUAUUAUCCUCAAUACUCCAUUCACACUUAGUUCUACCAAGUUCGUCAAACUUACCACACUUAUGAGUUCAGGAACUUUCCACAAUCAUAUGAGUUUAAGAACUUGUCCUAGUCAGACCUUUAAUGUCCAUUCGCUGAGGGGUUCAUAAACAUUUCAUAUAACCAUGAGUCACAAACGUAACAUAAAUAUGAGUUUUAAGAACUCGUACUUAACCUUAUAUCCUCUACCUAUAACCUAUCUAUCUGUUAUACACACGAGAAAGGAAUCACCCUCUCAACAUGCAUUUAGCAAAUAGCACGACAUAAACAUUUCAUAAUCCCUUCAUAAUCUUAACUCUCUUCUCAAUACGAAUUUUUAUUCAAUUCGUAUUUAUAAUCCUUUCCUGAAUCUGUACUAAUUCAUAGUACAACAUACACACGACAUUCUUGUCGUAAAUUUUUCAAUCAUUCGCUUGAUCCUUCUCCAUACUAUAACCUUAUUAGAUCACGGGGUGAUCUCAUCGUAUAUAUUAUGAUUCAUUUCUAUGCUAUGAUCGUUUUGUUUUACAAUCUCCUAUCACUGUACUUUCAGUCUUUUAGACUCUAUCUAUUCAUUACUACUGUUCACCUUUAUUAUUAGAGUUAGGAAACUCUGUGUCUUUAUAAUUCGCCGAGAUUCGUCUUUGAAUCUUACCGACACACUGACUCUAUGUGAGUUAGAUCUUAUCCUAAUCACUGCGGUUAUUAGUCUAAGGUAGCUCUACCAUAGGUUUAUAGCCAACAACUUUGAUACCAAAUGUAGCGCCCCCAAAUCCAUGGUCCUAAAUCACCACGGAUCUGGUACACUAGUUCUAACUAUUGCAGAAAAUAUAAACAUAAAUUAUUUAUACAUUAAAUAUCAUACACUAUCCCCAAGGUCGAGUAACCAUAACUUAUACACAAUUUCAUACCUAUCUAACAUACAAAUAAAUUACUUUUACAAAUCUAGCUGCACACACAGUCCCAAGCUGAGCUUGGCUUUAUCUUUUCCUUGUAUCGACGCAUUCGCCUUAAUCUGCAAUGUUUUAUCAUGAUAUAACAAGGGUGAGCAUGAAAGUUGUCCAGCAGGUUUAAAUUAUAUUUAAGGAUAUAUCAUGAUUGAAAGAGUCUGAAUAAUAAGCUGGCUAUAAUUCAUCAAUAUAAUUGAGAACUAGCACGAACAAACUUUUGACUGAACAAGUAUUAAACAUGAACAAAUAUAUCUGAAGCAAAUGGUAACGAAGGUGAUCAGCCUUUCAUACCUGACUUAUACAUAUAAUAUGUACAGAGUACAAUUCUACAUGGCAAUCAGCAAUGAUUAACCAUAAGCAUAUCUAAAUGAAUCAACUCUUAGUAGAGUUAAGAAAAACACUUGCCUGUACCGUUGAUUACCGUUAUGAAAUAUAACUUAGCUUUAUCUGAAGACCUAAUAUAGAUAAUACUGAUCUCCAAAUAUUAGAAUAAUAUUAUGACAGUAUAAAAUAAUCUAAACACAUUAUCACAUAAUCCUAUCAGUCUAUACAUCACAUAAGACUUGGUAUCAGGUCAAACUAUUUCAGUCUGACUUGAAUCCGACACAAUUUUAACAUCCCGACGGUCUAGUUGGACAAUUAUCGAGUUUAAGUUUAAUUAAACUCUACCUAACACUUAACAAUUAUCUUAGGUAAUUUAUUAAUCAGUCAAAAUAAUUUUCAUAGACCCAUAAUAAUUUUCAGAUAAUUAUUAUCCUUUAUUAUGUUUUUACAAUCAAUAAUAUCAUAUUUAUAUGCAUUAA
rnacentral:lncRNA from 1 species